UACGGGGGGGGCAAGCGUUGUUCGGAAUUACUGGGCGUAAAGGGCUCGUAGGCGGCCAACUAAGUCAGACGUGAAAUCCCUCGGCUUAACCGGGGAACUGCAUCUGAUACUGGAUGGCUUGAGAUUGGGAGAGGGAUGCGGAAUUCCAGGUGUAGCGGUGAAAUGCGUAGAUAUCUGGAGGAACACCGGUGGCGAAGGCGGCAUCCUGGACCAAAUCUGACGCUGAGGAGCGAAAGCCAGGGGAGCAAACGGG
rnacentral:rRNA from 1 species